UUUCAGCACCGUGGAUGCGACAGAGCUCCGCUUUUCCUGCUGAUGUUUGGCUCCUAUAAGUCUUCUGCGGCGCAGCGCUGCCAGAGGAGCAGAUUAAUGGAGCAGCUUCCUCCUUGGCAGCGAUAAAACACACCCAUCGCGCCCCCGGCUCUCCUCUGACGCCGCAUCCAAAUGGAUCUGUCGCACUUCUGGAGAUUAGAUUAAAUUUGGUGCUGCGGUUCGCCAGCGUCCAUCUGGGUUUGAUCUUCCUUCAGGGCCGAGCGUCGGGCAGCGCGCCGCAGAUCGCCGGUGGGCGGCGUGGAAAACGCCUCACGCUGUUUGUUUGCCUCGGAUGGAUUCGCCAAACUGCAUGCAGAGAAAAACAGGCAGCAGCUGAGCGAUUCCAGGUUUCUACCUGGAGCCGAAGUUUGUUUCUUCUCCUGAAGUCUGUCUGGUGGAUAACGUCGGCCUUCAGACAGAUCGUUGAUAAUCAGCUGCAAAGAAACUUCUCCUCCUCGCCGUUUUCCCAGAGGAAACGUGAUCCAGACGUUCGUCUCAAUGUGACCUACUUGUUUCUGAAGAAUUAUGUUGCGGUCAGAUGGGACAACGGCCAAGCAGGCCAGGUGUGAAGCACGGUGGUGGAAGCAUCAUGCUGCGCCAGGAUCUGGAAAACGUGGACAGGAUCUGGACAACGUGGACAGGAUCUGGAAAAGGUGGACAGGAUCUGGAAAAGGUGGACAGGAUCUGGAAAACGUGGACAGGAUCUGGACAACGUGGACAGGAUCUGGAAAACGUGGACAGGAUCUGGAAAACGUGGACAGGAUCUGGAAAACGUGGACAGGAUCUGGACAACGUGGACAGGAUCUGGAAAACGUGGACAGGAUCUGGAAAACGUGGACAGGAUCUGGACAUCGUGGACAGGAUCUGGACAUCGUGGACAGGCGUCUACAAAAUAUUUUGAUUACAUGUCAACAUGACAGACUGAAGCAACAGGGAAAACAAACAAAUCUGUGCGCAUUGUUUUCUAAAUAAUGUGAAAAACUUAUAAUUUGAGAGCAAAUCAGAACAAGAUAUUUUUUGAGGUGGAGUUGAGAAACAAUGAUAUGAUACAAAAACUAAAAUAAACAUCAGGAGGAAAUUUGAAACUAAAGCAUAAA